GAUGAACGCUGGCGGCGUGCCUAAUACAUGCAAGUCGAGCGAAGCGGGGAGGGGGGAGGAACACGUAGUUAACCUGCUAUACGACUGGGUUAACUUCGGAAAACCGGUGCUAAACCUGCUACUUAGAGAUGGCUCCGGGCUGCAGUAGCUAGUUGGUAAGGUAACGGCUUACCAAGGCAACGAUGCAUAGCCGACCUGAGAGGGUGAUCGGCCACACUGGAACUGAGACACGGCCCAGACUCCUACGGGAGGCAGCAGUAGGGAAUCUUCCGCAAUGGGCGAAAGCCUGACGGAGCAACGCCGCGUGAGUGAAGAAGGUCUUCGGAUCGUAAAACUCUGUUAUUAGGGAAGCGGUACCUAAUCAGAAAGCCACGGCUAACUACGUGCCAGCAGCCGCGGUAAUUC
rnacentral:rRNA from 1 species